UCUUUGGUGCUCUGUGCUACUUUAUGUUCUUCUUGGCCAAGUAUUUUGCACGUCAGGGCAGUAAGACGCUGUCUAAGAGAGAGAAGAAGAAACUGGCAGAGUACAGCGAUUACAUCCAGGAUAUCGUCAAAUCCAAGAAGCGGAAGCUGUAUGAGGAGUAUCUUCGCCAGUGUGCUGCAGAGUAUGAUUUCUGAAGGAAGCUG